rnacentral:rRNA from 1 species
AAACGGCUGCUAAUACCGAAUACGUUCUUUUUCUAUCGCAUGGUGAGAAGAAGAAAAGGAACGGCCUCUACACAAAGCGGUCGCCGAAGAGGGGUUUGCGUCUGAUUAGCUAGUUGGAGGGGUAACGGCCCAACAAGGCGACGAUCAGUAGCCCGGUCUGAGAGGAUGAACGGCCACAUUGGGACUGAGACACGGCCCCAGACUCCUACGGGAGGCAGCAGUGGGGAAUCUUCCGCAAUGGACGAAAGUCUGACGGAGCAACGCCGCGUGAGUGAAGACGGUCUUCGGAUUGUAAAGCUCUGUUAUACGGGACGAACGGCAAGGUGGUAAAUAGCCAUCAUGAGUGACGGUACCGUAAGAGAAAGCCACGGCUAACUACGUGCCAGCAGCCGCGGUAAU